UGGGGAAUAUUGGACAAUGGGCGAAAGCCUGAUCCAGCCAUGCCGCGUGUGUGAUGAAGGCCUUAGGGUUGUAAAGCUCUUUUGCCGGGGACGAUAAUGACGGUACCAGCAGAGGAAGCAUCGGCUAACUACGUGCCAGCAGCCGCGGUAAGACGUAGGAUGCAAGCGUUGUCCGGAUUUAUUGGGCGUAAAGAGUUCGUAGGUGGUUUGUUAAGUUUGGUGUUAAAGAUUGGGGCUCAACCCUGAAACUGCACUGAAUACUGGCAGACUCGAGUGUGGUAGAGGCUAGUGGAAUUCCCAGUGUAGCGGUGAAAUGCGUAGAUAUUGGGAAGAACACCGGUGGCGUAGGCGACUAGCUGGGCCAUAACUGACACUGAGGAACGAAAGCCAGGGGAGCGAAUGGGAUUAGAUACCCGGGUAGUCUCUGAGCGGGCUGGCAAGGCGCAU
rnacentral:rRNA from 1 species